rnacentral:rRNA from 1 species
UACGGAGGGUGCGAGCGUUGUCCGGAAUCAUUGGGCGUAAAGGGCACGUAGGUGGCGGGACAAGCGUGCGGUGAAAGCCUGGGGCUCAACCCCGGGUCGGCCGUGCGAACUGUUUUGCUUGAGCACUGUAGAGGCAGGCGGAAUUCCGGGUGUAGCGGUGGAAUGCGUAGAGAUCCGGAAGAACACCAGUGGCGAAGGCGACUUACUGGACACAUAUUGACGCUGAGGUGCGAAAGCGUGGGGAGCAAACAGGG